rnacentral:rRNA from 1 species
UGAGAUGCAUGGUCGAUAGCUAGUGGGAGUACGUCACAGCACGAUCAGUAGGGAUCGAGGAUGACCCCCACAUGUACUGAAUCGACAGACUCUACGGAGCAGCAGUAGAUAUGGACAUGGCGGAGCUGAUCAGUCAUGCUGCGUGCAGAGACGUCCUACGGGUGUAACUGCUUUGUAAGGGGAUAAACCCCCGGACGAGCUCCGGGCUGAAGGUACUUUACGAAUAAGCAUCGGCUAACUCCGUGCCAGCAGCCGCGGUAAUACGGAGGAUGCAAGCGUUAUCCGGAUUUAUCGGGUUUAAAGGGUGCGUAGGCGGCCUGUUAAGUCAGAGGUGAAAGGUUGCGGCUUAACCGCAGACAUGCCUUUGAUACUGGCGGGCUUGAAUAAAGUUGAGGUAGGCGGAAUGUGGCAAGUAGCGGUGAAAUGCAUAGAGAUGCCACAGAACACCGAUUGCGAAGGCAGCUUACUAAGCUUUGAUUGACGCUGAGGCACGAAAGCGUGGGGAUCAAACAGGAUUAGAUACCCUGGUAGUCCACGCAGUAAACGAUGAGAACUAGCUGUUGGCGAUAGAAUGUCAGCGGCACAGCGAAAGCGUUAAGUUCUCCACCUGGGGAGUACGAUCGCAAGAUUGAAACUCAAAGGAAUUGACGGGGGCCCGCACAAGCGGAGGAGCAUGUGGUUUAAUUCGAUGAUACGCGAGGAACCUUACCUGGGCUUGAAAGUUAGUGACGAUCGCUGAAAGGCGAUUUCCCUUCGGGGCACAAAACUAGGUGCUGCAUGGCUGUCGUCAGCUCGUGCCGUGAGGUGUUGGGUUAAGUCCCGCAACGAGCGCAACCCCUAUCAUCAGUUGCCAACAGGUAAAGCUGGGGACUCUGGUGAGACUGCCUGCGCAAGCAGUGAGGAAGGAGGGGACGACGUCAAGUCAUCAUGGCCCUUACGUCCAGGGCUACACGCGUGCUACAAUGGUAGUUACAGAGGGCAGCCACCUUGCAAAAGGGAGCCAAUCUCAAAAAGGCUAUCACGGUUCGGAUUGAGGUCUGCAACUCGACCUCAUGAAGUUGGAUUCGCUAGUAAUCGCGCAUCAGCAAUGCGCGUACCGCAG